rnacentral:rRNA from 1 species
GUGAACGCUGGCGGUAGGCCUCACACCUGCCAGUCGAACGGCAGCACAGUAAGAGCUUGCUCUUACGGGUGGCGAGUGGCGGACGGGUGAGGAAUACAUCGGAAUCUACUUUUUCGUGGGGGAUAACGUAGGGAAACUUACGCUCAUACCGCAUACGACCUACGGGUGAAAGCAGGGGAUCUUGUGCCUUUCCUCGAUGAAUUCUCCCGAUGUCGGAUUAGCUAGUUGGCGGGGUAAAGGCCCACCAAGGCGACGAUCCGUAGUUGGUCUGAGAGGAUGAUCAGCCACACUGGAACUGAGACACGGUCCAGACUCCUACGGGAGGCAGCAGUGGGGAAUAUUGGACAAUGGGCGCAAGCCUGAUCCAGCCAUACCGCGUGGGUGAAGAAGGCCUUCGGGUUGUAAAGCCCUUUUGUUGGGAAAGAAAGGCAGCAGGUUAAUACCCCGCUGUUCUGACGGUACCCAAAGAAUAAGCACCGGCUAACUUCGUG